rnacentral:antisense_RNA from 1 species
AAGUGCUAGGAUUACAGGCGUGAGCCACUGUGCCCGGCCACAACUGACCUGAUUCAAAGGAUGGGUCAGAAGUAUGUGCUCUGGAAUCAGGCAAAUCUGCUUCAAAUUCCAGUUCUACCAUUUAGAUAGCAGGUUAUCUGCAGAUACAGAAACCAUCUAAGAGGUCUGGUGUUGGAUACAACUAUUUGUACCUUGUAAAAUUCUUACCUCUAAAUCAUUAAAAAACAAAUGAGUAUCAGCAAGAUUAAAAAUCAUUUCUUCCAUGCGGAGUCCAAGGGUUACAGCCAUGGGGGGAUCCUGUAAAGAAAAUGUACACAUAAUGAGCUUACUAAGUCACUGGGACAGCUAAUUCUAAGUGAGCAGAUUACAGCACUGCAUUUUUCCAGCUAAAGGACUCACAGAUCCAAGAAUCCCAGAAAGAUGACUGGACAUUUGGUGGGUGUAGCCUUAGCAACGCUGGGCACCCUCCAUCUUGCCAAACUGCUGUGAGGGAGCUGCCAGCACCUGCAAUUCCACUGUUUUAUCAGGCAUUUGAGAAUGAAACAUACUUCUGGAUUGAACCCAAGUUUUAUACAGAGAUGUUUGCUCAUUUUCAUUAGAUGUUUGUAGAAUUAUGGGCACCUUAUGAAUCAAGAGUUGCUUUUUUUUUUAUUUGCAUUUAAGUGUGGUGAGUGUUGAGUUUAGGGUCUAAAAUGAGGUGAUAGCAAAAUCUUGGAUAGAGGAAAAAAGUGGGAUAAUAAAGGCACUAACAGAG